rnacentral:rRNA from 1 species
CCUACGGGAGGCAGCAGUGGGGAAUAUUGGACAAUGGGGGCAACCCUGAUCCAGCCAUGCCGCGUGUGUGAAGAAGGCCCUCGGGUUGUAAAGCACUUUCAGUGAGGAAGAACGCCUGGUGGUUAAUACCCAUCAGGAAAGACAUCACUCACAGAAGAAGCACCGGCUAACUCCGUGCCAGCAGCCGCGGUAAUACGGAGGGUGCGAGCGUUAAUCGGAAUUACUGGGCGUAAAGCGCGCGUAGGUGGCUUGAUAAGCCGGAUGUGAAAGCCCCGGGCUCAACCUGGGAACGGCAUCCGGAACUGUCAAGCUAGAGUGCAGGAGAGGAAGGUAGAAUUCCCGGUGUAGCGGUGAAAUGCGUAGAGAUCGGGAGGAAUACCAGUGGCGAAGGCGGCCUUCUGGACUGACACUGACACUGAGGUGCGAAAGCGUGGGUAGCAAACAGGAUUAGAUACCCUGGUAGUC